GUCCACGCCGUAAACUAUGGAUACUAGGUGCUCGAGGUGUUAACCCCUUGAGUACCGGAGCUAACGCAUUAAGUAUCCCGCCUGGGGAGUACGGCCGCAAGGCUAAAACUCAAAGGAAUUGACGGGGCCCGCACAAGCGGUGGAGUAUGUGGUUCAAUUCGACGCAACGCGCAGAACCUUACCUGGGCUUAACAUCCCUUGACAGCCGUAGAGAUACGGUUUUGACUUCGGUCACAAGGAGAUAGGUGCUGCAUGGCUGUCGU
rnacentral:rRNA from 1 species